rnacentral:rRNA from 1 species
GACGAACGCUGGCGGCGUGCUUAACACAUGCAAGUCGAGCGGUAAGGCCCUUUCGGGGGUACGACGAGCGGCGAACGGGUGAGUAACACGUGGGUGACCUGCCCUCAGCUCUGGGAUAAGCCUGGGAAACCGGGUCUAAUACUGGAUAUGACUCCAUGACGCAUGUUGUGGGGUGGAAAGCCUUGUGCGGCUGAGGAUGGGCCCGCGGCCUAUCAGCUUGUUGGUGGGGUGAUGGCCUACCAAGGCGACGACGGGUAGCCGGCCUGAGAGGGCGACCGGCCACACUGGGACUGAGACACGGCCCCAGACUCCUACGGGAGGGCAGCAGUGGGGAAUCUUGCGCAAUGGGCGAAAGCCUGACGCAGCGACGCCGCGUGAGGGAUGACGG